UAAUCGAAUUUCAUAUGGCUUACCAAAAUUCUGGUCCGAUGCGGCGACACUGCCAAGUUUAAGAUGCCUCAGCUCUUACCUCUUGAAAUAUGUGAUACACUCAUCAUCUCCAUUUAUUUUGCUUUAUAAAAGUCAAACUAAUGCAUCUUCUAUCAAACAUACUAUAGUAUUAUCCAAUUUUUAAGUGUUGAACAUAUAUAAUUUUCACGAAAGGACGUAAG
rnacentral:lncRNA from 1 species